rnacentral:rRNA from 1 species
UCCUGGCUCAGAUUGAACGCUGGCGGAAUGCUUUACACAUGCAAGUCGAACGGCAGCACGAGGGCAACCUUGGUGGCGAGUGGCGAACGGGUGAGUAAUACAUCGGAACGUGCCCAGUCGUGGGGGAUAACGUAGCGAAAGCUACGCUAAUACCGCAUACGAUCUAUGGAUGAAAGCGGGGGAUCGCAAGACCUCGCGCGGACGGAGCGGCCGAUGGCAGAUUAGGUAGUUGGUGGGAUAAAAGCUUACCAAGCCGACGAUCUGUAAGCUGGUCUGAGAGGACGACCAGCCACACUGGGACUGAGACACGGCCCAGACUCCUACGGGAGGCAGCAGUGGGGAAUUUUGGACAAUGGGCGCAAGCCUGAUCCAGCCAUGCCGCGUGCAGGAUGAAGGCCUUCGGGUUGUAAACUGCUUUGUACGGAACGAAAAAGCUCUCUCUAAUACAGGGGGUGAAUGACGGUACCGUAAGAAUAAGCACCGGCUAACUACGUG